rnacentral:lncRNA from 1 species
UAGACUCUUGUAGCUUUACGAUUCGCAGUUUUCUGAGCUUUUACAUACAACGGACACAUUGCUUUUCAAGAACGCAGGAUUCAACGUUGUGAUUGUGAACGUGAUCUUUGAUUUUUAAAAUAAUUUUUCUUGGUUAAACUUCAAGUAAGGCAGUGGAAUAUCCGUUGAAUUAAUCAUAUUGACAUUGAACUUAUGAAAUCUCUGUUGUGUGUCGCCAGUAUUUCCCUCGUGGCUCUCGCGCCUGGAACACUCGAAAUGUAUGUAUUCCAACCGUUCAGCGCAGUGGCUACGGUUGCUGACACCAGCGCCCUGACAGCAAGCUACUCACCUCAGGAAAUCAGUCUGACACCUAGAUGUCUUUUUGGUUAUUUGUUCAAGAGAAAGAAGAAGAGAAAACAGGAAGACAGAAAAAAUAAAGACUUGCUUGAAUUUAAUGGUCCCACUAGCAAUGGAAACGGUGUGCCUUACCCAGUAUCACCACCCGAAAAUUCGCCGGACAGAGGAGGGAAAAAGAAGGGUCGCAGUACUUCAAGUAAAGGAAGAAAGUCACCUAACAGGUCAUCUCAAGGAAGUGGGCAAGGAUAGGACCAAGCGCGGAAAAAUUGAUAAUGAUGAUUUAACUAUUUUGUAGUUAAAAAAGUGUCCUACAUGCUUCAUUGUAGAUUUUACAAUAACGAAAUGCCAAUUUAACCACCCCAUAGUUGAAUUAGCUUUCCCUUUAGAGUCCCUUUAUAGGGAGAGUCGAGACAACGCGGCUUGUGGAUGUCACGAACGGGAAUAAAGAUUACACAAAUCGAACGUUUUUUGUAAUCUUUGAUCAACCUAUUCCCGAAUUCCUGUCUCCUUUCCUUCUCUUUGUUCCUUGCCGUACCCUACGUUCCCUGGUCCAUACCAGUUUAUAAUCUUUGCAAUUGGUGAAAAUUUAAUCUUUACUACCGUUUGUGACAUUGUGAAAGCCUAAAUUACGGGAACAAAUCAGAAAUGGCUUCGCAUUGUCUUUACUCUCAGUAGGAAGGGACUCUAGAGGAAUUAUUGAUCUGUAUGAAGAAAGCGCUACUAUGAAUGCAGCCCAUGUUCUUUCAAUACAUUUCACGAUUUUACAAGCAAUGUAAAUAAACUAGUAUUUUU